GAAUCAUUUGAGUCAGUUUGGGGAUCGCGAAUCAUUUGAAUCAGUUCGGGAGUUCAAAGCGGGAUCGCGAAUCAUUUGAGUCAGUUUGGGGAUCGCGAAUCAUUUGAAUCAGUUCGGGAGUUCGUAGCGGGUACAUCUUUGUGUACUGACUCAACUUAAACACUCUCUGUACUGUCAGGAAUUUUAUCUUCUUCUGAGGGUGGAUUGACAAAAAAAACAACAAAAAUAAAACCGCUGGAUGUGACUAUAGUGGAUUGCAGGUGUGUUUGUGACAUGUCAGCGUUUGAUAAGCAGAUGGCCCGCGUGUCUGUACCUCCUUACCGUGGGGACGGCAUCAGUGACCCGGUGCAUUGUGGGUAGAGAGCGGGUGUCAGCAGUCUUUCCGAACGCCACGCUCUAAUGAAUAAUAAUCCCGUGCGUGUGACAGACGGCGAGGGGGAGUUUAGGGACGGGGCGAAACUUGAAGGCGAUGCUAAUUCAGUAAUUCCACCAACUCCUCGGACGGAUGUUUUUGUCAUUUCUGGACGAGCUCCAAAGUGGAGGGAGGGGUGACGUUCCCUUUGAUGAAGAGGCACGCUCUCAUUAAUAACGUGGUCGGGUCAACACAACCUCUCUUGUCUGAAUAUAUGAGAUUCCUUCUGUAGUUAUACAGUAGGUUUGAGAUGUCCCUGUGCGGCUGAACGCUCCACCUGUGUGUUUACACACGGAUUCGUAUCACAGCAUCACCGAAACACAGGAAAACAAAGACGGGACGGAGUCACGCCGAGGUCAAACACAACAGAUUCUCUCUAAAUGACUUUCAGUCUAAAGAGAGUCAGAGAAAUCACGUUUACUUUUACGAGAGGCUCAUAGCAAUCAUACUGUAUAUUAAAAACGAAAGCACUGUCCUGUCGUCAUUCCUGCUGCAAUCGCAUGCAACUCUCAGCUGAGGUCAGAGGUCAGAGAGUUUGUGCUUUUUUGUCUUUUUGUCAUUCUUAUUAGUGAAUUAGUUAAUUUAGCAAAUCAAGUUAAACUAAAUCAAAAUGAGAAAUUCAACUAGCUAAAAAAAGUUUUCUUUUAUUUACAGCAAAUAUAUACACGCACACACUCUGUCUCUCACACACACACACACAAACACAUGCACAAACACACACUCACUCACACACACACGCACGCACAGACACAAACACACACACACACACACGUUUCACAAACAUCAGUUCUGUCCCGUUCUGUUGUGUAGAUUAGUGUCACGGUUUUCUUGAUGUGUAACUCUUGCAUAUAUAGAGCAUUUUGCUUAUGCUAAUAAUUUAUAAUGCAUUUACUGAUGUUCACACAGAGAAGCUACAUGGAAUAUUUUAACAUAUUAAUCCCUCACACCGUGACAAAUGUACGUGCACUUAAUUUAAUUUAACUACAUACAUUUAAGUAAAAUGUGUCAUUUAUGUAUUUUACAAAUAAAUAAUAAAAUAUG